rnacentral:lncRNA from 1 species
CUCCAUCUCCUCGGCGUACUCGGCGACGACACCACCCUUGAUGUAGCGCUCGAGAGUCUCGGUGUCGAGGGACUUGUCCUGGAGAUCGUAGCCGGCGUAGCGCUUGUCGUUGUGGGGGAUGUCGAGGCCACCAUCCACAGCACCCUUGAGCGCGGCGAACACGCGGGAUCCGGUGGAGGUGCGCACGAGGCCGGUGUCGAGGAAGCACUUGAAAGGACGGCGGUCGCCCUCAGCCUCGACGUUGUAAUCCUCGCCGAGGUUCUCGGUGUUACCCUCGUAGGUCUCCGCGAGGUCGUACUUGGUCAGAAGACGACGCGCGCAGAGGAGUCCGGUGGCG